AUUGAACGCUGGCGGUAUGCUUAACACAUGCAAGUCGAACGGUAACAGGCCUUCGGGCGCUGACGAGUGGCGGACGGGUGAGUAACGCGUAGGAAUCUGCCUCAUAGUGGGGGACAACGUGUGGAAACGCACGCUAAUACCGCAUACUCCCUACGGGGGAAAGCGGGGGACCUUUGGGCCUCGCGCCAUGAGAUGAGCCUGCGUUAGAUUAGCUAGUUGGUAGGGUAAAGGCCUACCAAGGCGACGAUCUAUAGCUGGGCUGAGAGGACGAUCAGCCACACUGGGACUGAGACACGGCCCAGACUCCUACGGGAGGCAGCAGUGGGGAAUAUUGGAAAAUGGGCGCAAGCCUGAUCCAGCAAUACCGCGUGUGUGAAGAAGGCCCUAGGGUUGUAAAGCACUUUCAAUAGGGAGGAAAACCUGCCGGUCAAUACCCGGUAGCUUGACAUUACCUAUAGAAGAAGCACCGGCUAACUCCGUGCCAGCCGCCGCGGUAAUAC
rnacentral:rRNA from 1 species